rnacentral:rRNA from 1 species
GUGUCAGCAGCCGCGGUAAUACGUAGGGUGCAAGCGUUGUCCGGAAUUACUGGGCGUAAAGAGUUCGUAGGCGGUUUGUCGCGUCGUUUGUGAAAACCAGCAGCUCAACUGCUGGCUUGCAGGCGAUACGGGCAGACUUGAGUACUGCAGGGGAGACUGGAAUUCCUGGUGUAGCGGUGAAAUGCGCAGAUAUCAGGAGGAACACCGGUGGCGAAGGCGGGUCUCUGGGCAGUAACUGACGCUGAGGAACGAAAGCGUGGGUAGCGAACAGGAUUAGAAACCCCCGUAGUCC